UGUGCCAGCCGCCGCGGUAAUUCCAGCUCCAAUAGCGUAUAUUAAAGUUGUUGCAGUUAAAAAGCUCGUAGUUGAACCUUGGGCCUGGCUGGCCGGUCCGCCUCACCGCGUGCACUGGUCCGGCCGGGCCUUUCCUCCUGGGGAGCCGCAUGCCCUUCACUGGGUGUGUCGGGGAACCAGGACUUUUACUUUGAAAAAAUUAGAGUGUUCAAAGCAGGCCUAUGCUCGAAUACAUUAGCAUGGAAUAAUAGAAUAGGACGUGUGGUUCUAUUUUGUUGGUUUCUAGGACCGCCGUAAUGAUUAAUAGGGAUAGUCGGGGGCAUCAGUAUUCAAUUGUCAGAGGUGAAAUUCUUGGAUUUAUUGAAGACUAACUACUGCGAAAGCAUUUGCCAAGGAUGUUUUCAUUAAUCAGUGAACGAAAGUUAGGGGAUCGAAGACGAUCAGAUACCGUCGUAGUCUUAACCAUAAACUAUGCCGACUAGGGAUCGGGCGAUGUUAUCUUUUUGACUCGCUCGGCACCUUACGAGAAAUCAAAGUUUUUGGGUUCUGGGGGGAGUAUGGUCGCAAGGCUGAAACUUAAAGAAAUUGACGGAAGGGCACCACCAGGAGUGGAGCCUGCGGCUUAAUUUGACUCAACACGGGGAAACUCACCAGUCCAGACACAAUAAGGAUUGACAGAUUGAGAGCUCUUUCUUGAUUUUGUGGGUGGUGGUGCAUGGCCGUUCUUAGUUGGUGGAGUGAUUUGUCUGCUUAAUUGCGAUACGACGAGACUUACCUGCUAAAUAGCCCGCUAGCUUUGGCUGGUCGCUGGCUUCUUAAAGGGACUAUCGGCCUCAGCCGAUGGAAGUUUGAGGCCA
rnacentral:rRNA from 1 species